AUUGCAUUGACUUGUAAUAAACGUCCAGUAAAGAGCAGGUAGCACCUAUGAGCGGGGAUGGAUUGUGCACCUGCCUACAGAUGGGCUCGAUACGGCCCGUUCUAAUCCUUGGAGGGAUUCUUCCCAGCUAACGUCGCCUAGUCUUGAUGCCGAGAAUUUCUGCUCUACGGGGCCCCAGGAAGGUCCUAACCCGAUGACCCGAAAAGGGCAAUCCGGCCCGGAUCGUGCCCCGGACGUGUCUGCAGGAGGAACACGGAGGCUGACGAAAAGACGCUGCCCGCAAACUCGCAGAACAUGACCAUUGCUUGGGCUUGGGGAUCUUGGGGAGACAAAGGAGUCCGGAGAUCCCGGGGGGCUCAGAUAGUCCUCCCCUUCCCACGUGACGCUGGGGCCGGGGCCUGGUCCCAAAAGAAGUUCGGCGGGCUCCCUCGGUGGGUAGGACGUGGGCUCGGGAAAAAGAGCCUUCGGGACGGGGAACGGCACUG